CAGCGGGCUCCUGUCCAGUGGACCGGUGUCCACACCCGCUGCGGCCGUGUGGCGCUUUCCGUUAACAGCAGCCGUCGGGAGGGUCACGAUUUCUGGAGGCUGCAUGAGGUGGAGCGAGGGAUGGAUCGGUCCCAGCUGGACGCGCCCGGCUGCCCGGCACCCGACGGAGCCGGGGAAAGUGGAAGCCAGAGUGAUGACACAUCUGGUAGCAGCUUAUUUAAAACACAGUGUGCUCCUUCACCUAAACAAAGGCCGAGAGCCAUCACUGCAGAAUUGAACUCACCUGCAAGCCCUGAAACUGAUUCAUCAAGUGACUCAUCUCUAGAACCAAGAGCUUUGACCUUAAAGGCUAUUUUUGAAAGAUUUAAGAAAAAGAAACGUAAAAAAGGUAAAAAGAGAAAAUACAAGCCAAAACUCAGACCAAGGGGAAGACCAGAGGGAAGGAAAAACAGUAGACGAUCACAGAUAGAUAAGAAACAAAUAAAAGAAAAAGGACCUGUGUUUCCAUUUUCACAGUCUGAAAAUGGAGGAGAGCCACUGCCGUGGAGGAAAAUUUUAACCUAUGAGCAAGCUGUUGCAAGAGGAUUUUUCAACCACAUUGAAAAACUGAAGUAUGAGCACCACCUUAAGGAGUCCUUGAAACAGAUGGAUGCUGGUGAAGAUCUAGAAAAAGAGGACCUUGACAGUCGCAGAUACAAGUAUUUGGAUGAUGAUGGUUCCAUUUCUCCUAUUGAAGAUCCAUUAACAGAAGAUGAAGUGACACAUCCAGAACCUGAUGGCUGUGACAUCACAUUGGUAGAUGAUAGCUGUUUUAUCAUAAGUUCAGAAUUCCCAAAAAAGGCGAAGAAUACUAAAGUCACACUGUCUAAAGAGAGAACUUCUAAGGCAGAAAACACUAGGCAAACGGUCAGAAAUGCCUGAAGAGAUGAACAUGGAAUGCCAAAGGAUGCAAAGACUACCAGAGAACGUGACCUCCCAGGAAGAAAACUAGAUGUGGAAUAUACAGGCUCAAACCAGGAGCCACCACAGAGACUGACACAGCUCCCUCAACAAAUCAAGGGAAAGAGCCGGCUUCAGCCCAUGCAUUCCCAGGGAGGCGGUGGCCAGCCUGGUCUACAUAGCGUGUCUUAUGAGGCCUGGAGUUGAAGAUUCUGCUUACUGUGAAUGGAUGUGUUUCAAUGCAGUAUUGGCAUAUCCUGGAGACCAUAGUAUUCCGAGUGUGAUGGCUUAGGAAUGAGUAUGAGUCGAACUCAUUUUUAAGAUGGGAACCAAGCACAGGUCUUCAGGCUUGAUCUGCUGAGUAGCCUUCCUCACCGUAAUGGUCUUCAUCCAGAGUACCAUCUGUUCUCUAGGUGUCAGCAAUUGAGAAGCAGAUGAAUCCUAAAGUGGUUCCUACAGUAAAUGGCUUCAAGAAAUUAGAUGUCACAGAUCUCAGGUGGAGAACUUUGACAUUAUCACAAAUAUGUCUUUCACAUAAACUGUGGGAAGGCUGAAAGCACAACUGGAUUAAUACCCCUUUCUCUGAGAAAGGAUUAUCUGGAUUGUCUUGAGCUUCUGCAGCUUUGAUGGACAGUGAAGGGAAAUCGUGAAAUAUCUCUUAAAUAAAGAUUUAUUCACUUUAUAA